UGAGACUGAUAGUAACUGGGUUGAC
rnacentral:piRNA from 1 species